rnacentral:lncRNA from 1 species
CUGGCGUGAGCUUCUCUGCCCUGGGAGCUGCCUGGGAGCUGCCUUCUGUCCCCAGGCUGCCACUGUCCUCUGGGCCUGUCCAGCUCCACACCGGCUCCCACCAGCUGGUCCCAGUCACCACCAGGCAGGGGGUCCCAGGGACCCUGGGGCAGGUGGUGCAUCUUCCCUCUGUGGUGCAUCUUCCCCAGCUGGUGCAGCUGCCCCUUGGGGCUGCUCUCUGUCCCACUGCCUAUGGCUGGGUACAGCAGGUGGUGAUGGGGACACUGCUGCCCUACCAGCCAAGAGCUGUGGUCCAGGAAGAGGCCCUUUACCCCAUAGGCUCUAAUGUAUUCCACAUCCACAAUCAACCUGCCCUGGCUCUACCAGAUGGCACAACUACGAUGGAGCCCGAAGAAGUGAUGACCACAGAUCUCCCUGGAGACGGAUCAGCUGCCACCACAGAGACCAUUCCUGAGCAGGCAGGGGACAGCACAGACACACAUCUAUUUGCCUGGCCUGACACUGCAGUGAAUGAGGACACUGCCCUUGACAGCCCCAACAGCUCCACCUUGGAUGCUCUCCUGGAAGAACUCUCUGAGUAUCUGGAGGACAGUGGCUGCCUUGACAAUCAAGUGGAGUUGGCACAGCAAGGGGACAAUGAGGACACCAUCUUGGCCGCCAAUGUCCCCAGCCUGACAGCUGAGGACUUUGAUGAGUUCAUUGAAUUCUGUGAAUUCCUGCUGGAAGACGACCAUCCCAAGAAGCCGGUGGUGGAGGUGCAGCAAAGGAAUAGCCAGGAUAUCAUCCCUGCCAUCCCCAACCUGAUCCCCUCUGCCAGCCCACCUAUUGCCUCCCAGCCUCAGUCAUCCCACACAGUGCAGAUGGAGGAGGAGGCACUGCAGAUGCAGCCAACAGGCAUCAUCACUAUGCCUGUGCCCCCAAAAACAGGACAGCUGGCAGCAGCCAGGCCAAGAGCUAUGCACCAGCCAGCACCCCCACGAGCUAAGAGACCUUCCCGCAGGACUAUGGCCAAGCCAGCAAGAAAAAGACGACGGCAGUGAUGCAGCACCAAGGCCAGAAGACAAUCUGAGCCAGUGACCUACAUCCAGACUCCCAGCCCUCUCCUACACUCCUCAUUCCCAU